rnacentral:lncRNA from 1 species
AGGCGCGACCGUUGGUGGUUUUCUGGUGGUACCUCAAGGAGACCUUCUUCCCAGGUGACCCAUUCCACGUGGCGGUGCCGGUGUGUGAGCGAGCUGCCAGACCGCACGUGGCGGCGGCGCUUCGAUACUUCUUCCCGUUCCUGGAGUGGGCGCCAGCCUACGGGCUGGGCAACUCAAGUCGGACCUCAUCGCCGGUACUUCUUCUGGUUCCUUGAAGUUUGAUAUCCAUGCCCCCUUGUUAGAGCGGUGGAGAGAGAUGCGACAUGGAGUGAGGGAACUGUCGGCACCGGCAUAAGAGGUUGAUCUCCGCCCCGGUUUCCUCUAUGAUUACAUCAAGGAUGUAUUUUGUUGCUUGUUGGUUCUGUGUGCGGGAGCUCGAUGAUUGGGGGAGUUUAGAUCUGUGGUUUCAUUCUCAAAUUCUAUUCGUAUGGAUUGAGAUAGAGAUGAGAAGGUAGGUCCCUUAUUCAUGUAGGUUUUCUCUGUACCACUAAAUGUUUGUUUGAUUUUUUUCCAUGUAGGUUCUCUCUGAUUUUGCAUUAGUCUAUGAUCUUAGUCUUCAUUCUUUUAUUUUUAGUUUAUGAGAUUUCAGUAUUUGAUUCACUUAUUCUUGGUUUGGCAGAUAUUCAGUAUCUCUGUUCUUAUUAUUCAAUUUUUUUAUUUCUCAGAUUAGGAUUUUAGUACCUUUUCUUUUAUUAGUCAUCAGUUUUCUUCUUUAUUCAAUCAUAUUCAGCCUUAGUUCUUGUUCAGUCUUUCUUUAACUUCUUUUGUCCUUAGUCUCCAAUUUUCCUCUUUCUUCAGUCAUAUUCAGUCACACUUUGUUCAGUCUUUCAUUAUCUACUUCAGUCUGUAGUGCUCCUUGUGCAUAUAUACUUUGUUUUGCUCAUUCUUCUUUCUUAGCUUUGUUCUCUCAUUUUGUAUCGGCACAACCAAUAAUUCACAAGAUCAUCUAAUCCACAUAGGCAAAGGAAGAUUUUUCGUAGUAAAAUUCAGUAUAGUGGAGGGAAAGGAAGGUUUUUCGUUGUAAAAUUCACUACACUAGAGGGAAAAAGUUUCAAUGUUAUUAUCUAAUUGUUUCAUGGUUUUCUUAGUCAUGACUUUCUUUUCUCUACCAGCUUUAGGGGGAGGUCCAUCUAAUUUGACUUUGCCCUGGGCUGUCUGCAGGUGGGUUAAACAACCAGAUUUGGUGGAUUAGUUGGACUUGUAAAUAAUUUUUUCUGAUCCCAACACACUUUAUAUAGAGAAGUAGUAUUUCUUCAUAUUGUUACUUUUUUUGUUUGCUUUUGUGCUUAUUGCUCAUAUUGUUAAAUGUUUGUUGGGGCCAGUUCUUUUGGGCAAUUCUCCCAGAAUUGACCCCCUCCCCAGCUUCUCCCAGAAUUGCUACUCCAUCCUUUUUUACAAUUCCUAGCUAGUUAAGGUCUAAUUAGCUAGGAAUUGUAAAAAAAGAUGGAGUGGCAAUUCUGGGAGAAGCUGGGGAGGGGGUCAAUUCUGGGAGAAUUGCCCAAAAGAACUGGCCCUGACUCUUCUUUCUCUGGUCACCUUCAGUGCACAUGUUUCUUCAUUAUUUCAGUAACUACCUUCUCAUUGUUCCGCCUUCAUUUCUCAAAUCCAUGCUUAUCAGUUAUCCCUCUGUAUGCAUCAGUGAUCAAUAUUUCUCUUCAGCCUCAUUAUUUCUUUUCGAGAGUGCGCCAAAGGCUUACCUUAGCUUUAUAGAAGGAAGGAGUGAUAUUUACAAGUCAGCCUCAUUAUUUCAUUAAGUCCCUGCUCUACCCAGCCUUCAUAAAUUCAGUAUGCCCCUGUGCAUUAUGUAUAAAGACUUUUUUGAGCAUUCUUAUUUUUUAUCUUUUUGUUUCACCAGGAGGUUUUAUUACUAACCAGAGGAAGUUUCUUCUCCCACUUCGUUUUAGCGCAUGUUGUUUCAGAUGUGUUAUGUAAUAGUACUACAUAGAAGAGUUUUUUGCUUCAAGAAGUGUUAUGUAAUAGCAUAAAAACUACAUAAAUAGUUCGUUCUGUUCUGUUUUUUUUUCACUAGACAUUGAUGCUAUUUGUGCUCUUUAGCAGUGACACCAUAGUCAGUUAGCAUUUUCUGUCUUUUAGCUACACUGAGCCUUUGAUUUGUUUGUACCAUUAGGCUGUAGGGAAAUAUUACUAUAUGUAACAUGUAUUUUUUUUGUUCUUAUAAGAUGUUGUUUCUCAUUUCUGAAAUUUAUUUCUUGAUGCAGCUUCAUUCGGAUUUAUGUGAAUAUAAGCGUAAGAGGUCCACUGGGAAUGAUACAAAAUAAUUUCAGACGUGAGUAUCCGGAUCGCAUUGCUACUGGUCGUCUCUUGCGAUGGCGUACAGCGGGCUUUUGACAAAGCCAAGUCAUGGCCUCAUGAGGAUGCUUUUGGAUUAACUGUAGUGCAUUGUACCGUUUUAUGCUCCAUGCGAGAGUUGUACAUAUCCUCAUUAGAUGUACCCCUGCCUAUGAUGGUUCUGAACUCAAAUAUUAGAGUAUCUGUAUAUUUGAUCAAUGUGGUACUAUUAUAUCCUAAUGUUAUAACAUAUAUGCCCGUAUUGAUAUACAUGAGUGUGAUUAAGAACAAAACAUGGCAGCCCAAUGUGUUGAAACAAGAUAAGUGCGC